GCAGCAGUGGGGAUAUUGGACAAUGGGGGGAACCCUGAUCCAGCCAUGCCGCGUGUGUGAAGAAGGCCUUAUGGUUGUAAAGCACUUUAAGCGAGGAGGAGGCUCUCUUGGUUAAUACCCAAGAUGAGUGGACGUUACUCGCAGAAUAAGCACCGGCUAACUCUGUGCCAGCAGCCGCGGUAAUACAGAGGGUGCGAGCGUUAAUCGGAUUUACUGGGCGUAAAGCGUGCGUAGGCGGCUUUUUAAGUCGGAUGUGAAAUCCCCGAGCUUAACUUGGGAAUUGCAUUCGAUACUGGGAAGCUAGAGUAUGGGAGAGGAUGGUAGAAUUCCAGGUGUAGCGGUGAAAUGCGUAGAGAUCUGGAGGAAUACCGAUGGCGAAGGCAGCCAUCUGGCCUAAUACUGACGCUGAGGUACGAAAGCAUGGGGAGCAAACAGGAUUAGAUACCCUGGUAGUCCAUGCCGUAAACGAUGUCUACUAGCCGUUGGGGCCUUUGAGGCUUUAGUGGCGCAGCUAACGCGAUAAGUAGACCGCCUGGGGAGUACGGUCGCAAGACUAAAACUCAAAUGAAUUGACGGGGCCCC
rnacentral:rRNA from 1 species